GAUGAACGCUGGCGGCGUGCCUAACACAUGCAAGUCGAGCGUGAACCGUCUGAAUGAAACUUCGGUCGAGUGAGGAUGGGGAAAGCGGCGGACGGGUGAGUAACGCGUAGGCAACCUGCCCCGUACAGAGGGAUAGCCUCGGGAAACCGGGAUUAAGACCUCAUAAUACCAUUAUCUCACAUGUGAUAAUGGUCAAAGAUUUUAUCGGUAUGGGAUGGGCCUGCGUCUGAUUAGCUGGUUGGUGGGGUAACGGCUCACCAAGGCGACGAUCAGUAGCCGACCUGAGAGGGUAAUCGGCCACAUUGGAACUGAGACACGGUCCAAACUCCUACGGGAGGCAGCAGUGGGGAAUAUUGCACAAUGGGCGAAAGCCUGAUGCAGCAACGCCGCGUGAGCGAGGAAGGCCUUUGGGUCGUAAAGCUCUGUCGAGGAGGAAGAUAAAUGACGGUUACUCCUCGAGGAAGCCCCGGCUAACUACGUGCCAGCAGCCGCGGUAAAUACGG
rnacentral:rRNA from 1 species